CACGUAGGGCGCAAGCGUUGUCCGGAAUUAUUGGGCGUAAAGAGCUCGUAGGUGGUUUGUUACGUCUGCUGUGAAAACCUAGGGCUUAACCCUGGGCUUGCAGUGGAUACGGGCAGACUAGAGGUAGGUAGGGAGAAUGGAAUUCCUGGUGUAGCGGUGAAAUGCGCAGAUAUCAGGAGGAACACCGGUGGCGAAGGCGGGUCUCUGGGACGGUACUGACGCUGAGACGCGAAAGCGUGGGAGCGAACAGG
rnacentral:rRNA from 1 species